GAAUUCCGGGCCGCCGCGGCCACGCCGGAGACACCAGGAGGGCGGGCGGCGCCCUGGGGCCAAGGUGGCCCCUCAGCUGCGACGGGCCGGGCUAGGUCGGGCCUGACUCCCGAGAAAGCAGGGCCGCCCGACAGCACCCGCCGGCCGCGUCCUGCCGGCCCGCGGCUCGGGGUCAUCCUGCCGCCCUUCCGCGAGCCCCUCCCUCCAGGGCCUCUUUCUCCGGAGCUCACCUCCCGACUCCGCGCCCGCAGCCUGCGCUUCAGCUCCAGCUCGGGUUCCGGGGCCUCGGAUCCCAGCGACUCCCUCACAGCUGCGCUCCGCAGCGCAACCGAACUGCGGGCCCCGCCCUCGCGGCGUCCGGACCAACAGUGGGCGGUGCCGCACCGCCGCCAGGUUUCCAUUGGACAGGGCAGCGGGGGGCGGUUCCCACAGACCGAGGCUCUCAAGGCAGUCUACUGCCGGGUCUCCUCCCCUUGCGGGGUUCCGGCAGACUGCCUGCCAGCGUUGUCUUCUUGUCUCUCUGUCCAUCCUCCUCCCAGUCGAGGUGCCCCCAAGUAAUUCUGCCGGACGAAAGGAAGGCCUUCUCUCUCUUCUUGAAAGCGCCAUGACAGUCCUAAUCCUCUAAGAAGACAAAAGGAACGGAAGACGCAGCCUUUCAAUCUGAGGAACGAACCCACCCACAUUCCCCAUUUGGGAAAGAGACAGUGCACUGGUCAUCAAAUUUUCAGAAAGCUUUUUUUUAAUCGCUUAACAUGAAAACUAAUAGU
rnacentral:lncRNA from 1 species